rnacentral:rRNA from 1 species
CGCGUAGGUGGUUUGUUAAGUUGGAUGUGAAAGCCCCGGGCUCAACCUGGGAACUGCAUCCAAAACUGGCAAGCUAGAGUACGGUAGAGGGUGGUGGAACUUCCUGUGUAGCGGUGAAAUGCGUAGAUAUAGGAAGGAACACCAGUGGCGAAGGCGACCACCUGGACUGAUACUGACACUGAGGUGCGAAAGCGUGGGGAGCAAACA